CAGUCGUCCCUACCCGAGCCAUAACCGCCUCCAGCCAAGUCGAACCCCCUUUGACCCAGCCAAUUAAGCCACCUAACCUAUUUUUGGUCAAUUGGGGGUUGAACCGAGGAAUUUUCUUAAACCAAGGAUAAAUUUGGAAUUAUCUUCAACUUUGGGGCUUGACUGUUGGGGAGCUUGAUCAUGAUUGUUAGGAUAAUUUUGCUGUGAGCUAAUCUCCAGGUAAGAGACUCUACUACCAGACCUCCGACUGAAAUUAAGAGACUGCAUGUAUUUAUGGUUAUGCUUGGAUGAUAGCUAAAUUGCAUAACUCAGUGUUAUUGAUGAUUACUGACAUUGUAUUGAUGAUUGAUGUCGUGAAAAUGAUAUUAUGUUAUGACUAGCAGUAUGUUGAUGAGGAUGACUACGUUAUGUUCAUGUUUACAAUAUUGGUUAAGUAUGCUAUGAUCGUUAUGAUAUGCCAUGUUUAUGAAAAUGUUAUGCAUGUUACAUGCUACGGAUAAGGUGUGCUGUUAGCUUUUUCUAUUAGAGUUGUAUUCACAUGGGUGUCCCUCGGAGUCACUACCUUUUUUUUAUGACUGCGUAGUCCGAUGGGAUCGCCAGUCCAGUAUGAUAUUGACAUUGGCAUAGACAUGAUUAUGAGUGAUUCGACGGGGUCACUUAUAGCCCGAUUGUCUUAAUGUUUCCUUCAGAUAUACUACAGACCAACUUGUCCUAGGUGUUCCUUUGGAUCAUCGAAGACCAGAUAUGUUCCUACGGGAUCACAGAUUGCACGUAUUCAGGAACGUGCCAAUUCAGGGGUACCAAUUUAUAGGACUUUAAUAGGAAGUUAACAGGCACCUAGCGGGAUUAGUAGUGGGUCCCUUACUGAGUAUAUUUUUAUAUUCACUUUUUCUUGUUUAAUUUUUCAGGCAGAGGUAAGGGCAAAGGCAAGCUGGCGACUGACAAGAAGUGACUAUGACGAGUCAUAGGGAUCAUUUUGCUUCUGCUUUAUGUCAUUGUUCGGAUUUCCAGUAUUUGCAUUUUUAUCUUAAUCUCUUAUUAUUAUUUUAUUUCUUUAAAACUAGAUAGAGCCCGAGUUAGGAUUUUAUUUUUAGACUUAUUUUCAUAUACAUUUGUUUAUACUUUUAAAUGAUAA